AAAAGCCAAACCUCCAUCAUGCUAAUGACAAUAGAAAGGGAUUAGGUGAACAAUAGUUGGCCUGGCGUGCACGGUUUCACCUGAGCUCAGCAGAGGAAAGAUCCAGGGCCGAGCCGAGCCGUCGCAAGCUGACGGAGCUCUUUGAGGGGCCCAGAGAGCGGAGCCAUUCACCGUCCAAAGCAAUAAAUGUGCAAAGCAGGUCAGGAGGACUGUUACUGCAUUUUCAAAGAGGACGUACAAACCAGCCAAAAUGCCUGGAAAAGGUAACAAGUCGGACAAGAAAUCCACAAACAAGCCACCCCAGAGCCCUAAAGAUCAGCCGAAGAAAGGUGAUCAGAAAGGAGAUGACAACAAGAAGCAAGGAGGACAGCCGAAGGGAGAGAAGCAAUAACUUCCAGGCCUUUGUGAACCUGGCCCUGGAGACGCUCUUGGGUUCCUGCAGCCGUAAAUACAAAGGCCCUCGAGGUAGACAAAGCUGAAGUGACAAAAUAAGAACCGCAGAUCCUACACAUUUCAGCUCUUCAUUGGAGACUCUCGGCCCCACAGCGCCUGCUGUCAUGGGUUUUUGGAGUUUUCGCAACCGAGAUUUGUCACAUUUCUAGCCACUUUUCCAUCUCAUCCUUUCGCACUCCACCCAUGUGAUUGCACAUUGUAUUGUAGAUAAAUAAUUAAUAAAUAAAUAAAUAGUUUACCUUAAUAAAUAA